CUGUCUCCUUGAACCGAGGCAGCUGCUUGUGAUUGUGUGUGGUUGCCCGCGCUUGGCCGCUCCUCACUGCAUGGCUCCUUGUCUUUAAAGGCUACCUCGACCACCCAGACGGUACCACCCGGUUCAUCCGGCUACACUUACUGACCCGGCGCUGUAAGCUGUGACAGGUGUGCCACGGUCACUGCGUUUUUGUAUCGUCCUCGUUUUUCGUUGGGCUCUGCGUGCGCUCGUCCUCUCGCGGUAGUGCCUCAGUGAGCCUGCCAUGCCUGUGCAAAAGGCUGCUCGCGUUGAGGCGAGAGCGCCUGCGGCUGCGCUCUCUACCGUUAGCGUGCGCAGAGCAAGUCGUGAUGACAGCGGUCUUGACGACAGCGGGCUCGACAACUCUAUCAAUCCGCUGUUCAUACUCUCCGGCCCCCGCGGAAGCGCCAUCGACCCGCGCAGCAGCGACCAUCAACUCAACUCCCUGAUGAACGUGGUCGAUGGCUCAGUCUUUCAAGUGCUGAGUGACGCGUGGGCCGCUGUUGGUGUGCCAGCGGAUCGAUACUGGCGCAGUUCCCAACAUCUGCGUGGCGGAAGUUCAGCAGCAAUGCUGCCGAAGAAGACACCCUCGUCGCCACUCAGCUUGCUAGGGCUGCGUGUGCCGAACCCCCUUCACCUUCACUCGUCCUUCUACCCUACACGCGUUGAGGCGCUGGCGGCGCGCGGCUACGGCGCCCACCGUGGGCUUCUUCCUCUCGCACUUGACCGCAGAAGUGGAUCGGGUAGUAAACUCUUCAACGUUCUUCCACGAUGGAGCACCAACGUAGUCGGCAUCGGUGAAUCAGCGGUGGAGGCCUCAGCGGGCAUUUGGCAUGGAAGCGCCGUCGCCGAUUUCGUGAGCGCCAUACCCCACAUGCAAGAUCGCAACUUGUACGCGCUGGUGGAUGAGUCAUGUCCGGUAGAUCCUUACUUUGAUCUGGAUUUCUCGUACGACCCGGACCAGGACGACCCGAGUGAUGCUUUGCUCGUGCAGAGCCACGGCGAGGGCAAGGAGGUGGCGGCGGUGACCGCCUUCUCCGCCGAGGCAGUGGAGAAGGUGCUGCUCACAAUGCUCACGGCUCUUCGUCGGGAAGUGGAGACGGAGCUCAAAACCACUGUGGCGGAGUGCCUGGUGCUGACGAGCAGCCUUCAAACAGGGCGGCGCCCGGAUACGCCCUCAGAGCCGGCUUCCUUGGAGCAGCUGAAGCUCAGCUUUCACGUGCACUUCCGUUUGGCUGACAGAGCAGUGCUGGCGUCAGUGCGAGAGAUGCACAACUUCAUGACUCGGCUUCGUUCCAGACUUCAAGACGAAGAGGCGGCAGCAACAACAUCGCCCUCGCUGGGCAGCCCCACGAGAGAGAAGAGGGAGGAAGCUCGACAGGCCUCCGCCCUACUGCUGCGGUGUGUGGACUUUGGUGUGUACACGCGGUGGCGCGCUUUUCGUCUACCGUACAACGUCAAGGCAUCCGAGGCUGCGCGGUCAAGUGCGCUGGUGAGCGGCGCUGGGGAUGACUUGCUGGAGGAGCAGCUCCAGCAGCUGGGCAUUGCACUCCCAGACAACGGAGUGGGCAGAGCAGCGCCGAGCGUGCUGCAGAGCCUCUUCCUUGCCGCAGACGUUGCGACUUACAAAGCGCAGCGCUACUUGCUCAAGCGCUUGGAGCCGCAUUUUCGCUUUCUUUUGCCGGUGUUGCCGGGAGCUACGGAGCUGAGGUCGGCUACAUUGGCAGAGUUUCUCUCCCCGCUUGUGCCUCCGCAGGUGAGAGCGGCGGCGGCAGAGGUGAGCGGGCCCUCCUCUCCCAGUUCAUCAGCGAGGGACGUGGUGAGCGCGUGGGCUAUGGAGCUCGCCUGCAUCGUACGAGAUGCCUCAACGCUGCCGCACUCGCGCGACGACGGCGCCGUGCAGGAGUCGCCGACAAGUUCAUCCUUCCGACUACUUCUUGACGAGGGAGCGAUCACUUCUGCCGCCGCAAAGGCGUCUGCGCAGGCCACCAGCAGCCCCUUCGACGUUCCGCUACCUCCAAUGCCACGUAGUGUGCGGGUUCGAGUCGAGGACGCCGAGAUGAAGAGACUUCUCGCAGAGGUGUUUUGGUGCAUAGCGCCGGAGUACGGCGGCCCAGGCACUGUCGUGCGAGCCUCACCGGCGACGGAUGCACGGAACGCACUCUCAGCGCCGAACCCCAUCACUUCGGAGCGUAUCAACGCUCACUACGAGGACUCGAUUCGAGCAUACUACGUCUUCCAGAAGCAGAACAAGUACUGCAUCCGCCUGCAUCGAAAUCACAAGGCAACCUUCGCGCAGCUGUACUUGACAUUCGGAUCCAUCAAGAUUCGUUGCUACGCAAACGACUGCUGUGACCGGUGCUGCGUUAUUCCAUGGGAAGCCCCAGAUAACCCGAAGUCGGGGCCGCAAUACCAUGCCGGGUAUCCCAGGUAUGAGCGUCUCGUGGCAAUUCGCAAUGCGCUUUUUCCGCCCCUGUCGACGGAGGAGCUGGUUCGCCGCUACGGCACAGGUGUCUUGCAUUACGUGUAGCAGCGUGUGAAGUGCAGUCGAGGGGAGAUAAGAUGUCUGUUGAAGAAGCGUACUUACAUGAACAAGAAGACGCAGCGCGACACGCGCUGACCUCUUAAAUCAACUGCGCAUCUCACACCUUUGUUUUUUCUCUCGUAUUAGAGUAGAUCCAGGACCUCCGGCUCCGGCUGCCCGUUUCGAAUCUUCCGCUUCUCCCUCUCCUCACCGCGCGCACACAGACGCACGCGUCGGCGAGCGCAUCCUCCAAUGCGUCGGCGAGAAGUGGGGAGGAUGGGGGAGGGCUUGUCGUACUUUUAUCUUUUUUUUUCCUCGCUGAUCUCUUUGACCCUUGCGCUGCUCGCGUAUGCGUGUGCGAACUGUGACAGCCAUGCUUGCUGCAGGUUUAACACAAC
rnacentral:misc_RNA from 1 species